rnacentral:rRNA from 1 species
UACGUAGGGGGGCUAGCGUUGUCCGGAAUCAUUGGGCGUAAAGCGCGUGUAGGCGGUCCGGUAAGUCCGCUGUGAAAGUCGGGGGGCUCAACCCUCGGAUGCCGGUGGAGUACUGUCGGGCUUGAGUACGGAAGAGGCGAGUGGAAUUCCUGGUGUAGCGGUGAAAUGCGCAGAUAUCAAGGAGGAACACCAAUGCGAAGGCAGCUCGCUGGGACGUUACUGACGCUGAGACGCGAAAGCGUGGGGAGCAAACAGG